UUGUACACACUGCCCGUCGCUACUACCGAUUGAAUGGCUCAGUGAGGCUUUCGGACUGGCCCAGAGAGGUCGGCAACACUCACCCAGGGCCGGAAAGUUGUCCAAACUUGGUCAUUUAGAG
rnacentral:rRNA from 1 species